AGAUAGAGUAAACGCAGCCCUGUGACAUGCUUGAUCCAUCCUGUCUAAUCAAUAAACUCUUGACUGAUGUAACCAGAUCUGUCUUCGGAGGCCAAACCAGGAAGAGGUGAUGUCAUGAUGGCUAUCGCUUACAAUGCUCCAGCCAGCUCCAGAUGUACAGACCCCCAUCUCUCCUGAGAAAACACAUAAAUGCCUUUGGCAAGAAGAUCCAGCACAUUACUGGAUGUACUGCUUGAAACAGUGACCUUGACAUUCUUCAGCGCUGCAUCAGAUGACUCAGCAUAUCUGCUCACUCUAAUGAUGAUCUAUCACAAGGUGUCCAACCCACCG